GUUUGAUCCUGGCUCAGGAUGAACGCUAGCGGCAGGCUUAAUACAUGCAAGUCGAACGGGAUUCGGGGUAGCAAUACUUUGAUGAGAGUGGCGCACGGGUGCGUAACGCGUAUGCAACCUACCUUUAACAGGGGAAUAGCCCCGAGAAAUCGGGAUUAAUACUCCGUAACAUUGCGGUGUGGCAUCACACUGCAAUUAAAGAUUUAUCGGUUAAAGAUGGGCAUGCGUGACAUUAGCUAGUUGGUGAGGUAACGGCUCACCAAGGCAACGAUGUCUAGGGGUCCUGAGAGGGUUAUCCCCCACACUGGUACUGAGACACGGACCAGACUCCUACGGGAGGCAGCAGUAAGGAAUAUUGGUCAAUGGGCGCAAGCCUGAACCAGCCAUGCCGCGUGCAGGAAGACGGCCCUAUGGGUUGUAAACUGCUUUUAUCAGGGAAUAAACCCCCGCUCGUGAGCGGGGCUGAAGGUACCUGAAGAAUAAGCAUCGGCUAACUCCGUGCCAGCAGCCGCGGUAAUACGGAGGAUGCAAGCGUUAUCCGGAUUCAUUGGGUUUAAAGGGUGCGCAGGCGGAUUGGUAAGUCAGGGGUGAAAUCCCACAGCUCAACUGUGGAACUGCCUUUGAUACUGUCAGUCUAGAGUAUAGUUGAAGUUGGCGGAAUGUGUCAUGUAGCGGUGAAAUGCUUAGAUAUGACACAGAACACCGAUCGCGAAGGCAGCUAGCUAAGCUAUAACUGACGCUCAUGCACGAAAGCGUGGGGAUCAAACAGGAUUAGAUACCCUGGUAGUCCACGCUGUAAACGAUGAUUACUCGAUGUUGGCGAUACACAGUCAGCGUCUGAGCGAAAGCAAUAAGUAAUCCACCUGGGGAGUACGAUCGCAAGAUUGAAACUCAAAGGAAUUGACGGGGGCCC
rnacentral:rRNA from 1 species